GAUGAAGAACGUAGCGAAAUGCGAUAAGUAGUGUGAAUUGCAGAUUUCAGUGAAUCAUCGAAUCUUUGAACGCACAUUGCGCCCGCCAGUAUUCUGGCGGGCAUGCCUGUUCGAGCGUCAUUACAACCCUCAGGCCCCCGGGCCUGGCGUUGGGGAUCGGCGGAGCCCCCCGUGGGCACACGCCGUCCCCCAAAUACAGUGGCGGUCCCGCCGCAGCUUCCAUCGCGUAGUAGCUAACACCUCGCGACUGGAGAGCGGCGCGGCCACGCCGUAAAACACCCAACUCUUCUGAAGUUGACCUCGAAUCAGGUAGGAAUACCCGCUGAACUUAAGCAUAUCAAUAAGCGGAGGA
rnacentral:misc_RNA from 1 species